UCUCACACUUCUUGGCAGCACUGGCACUGUCUCUUAGCGACGAGAUUUUUGGGGAGCCGCGGCCCCCUCCAUACUGCCUGUGAGAUGCACGCACGCCACCCUCCCCCAGCAGUGGUACCAAGCCUCGGGCAGCAGCAGGCAGGGGUACGCUGGCCCGAGCUCAUGGCCGGUCAGUCCAUCAUCUAUCUAUAUCUGUCCACGUCUCAGGGAUCUGGGAGAGAGGGAGCAGCAGGACCUCAGAUACUGACUCCAUCCUCUUACUGGCCCAAUAGUGGGGCCCCAGCCUUCGGUGCUCACCUGGUUCUGACUGAGCGUGUUAAAGGCCCGGAUCUCCAGGACAUUGAAGGAGCUCUCCACCUGGGGGAAUGGGGACGCUCCUCAGCUCAUGGCUCUCUGCCCUCAGCAGUCUAACUAACUGCCCUUGAUACCUCCGCUUGGUCCCAAGCCCAGCGCCCUUACCAGUACUCGGUCUUCAAAUUUC